GCAUUAGUAGUUUGUUUAGUGGUAAAAUCCAUCGCUGUCAUCCGUGAGCCCGUGUUCGAUUCGCGGCUCAUGCA
rnacentral:tRNA from 1 species